ACCGUGGUAAUUCUAGAGCUAAUACAUGCUGAAAACCCCGACUUCGGAAAGGGGCGUAUUUAUUAGAUUCAAAGCCAAUGCCCCUCGGGGCUCCCUGGUGAUUCAGAAUAACUUCUCGAAUCGCACGGCCCUUGCGCCGGCGAUGGUUCAUUCAAAUUUCUGCCCUAUCAACUUUCGACGGCUGGGUCUUGGCCAGCCGUGGUUGCAACGGGUAACGGAGGGUUAGGGCUCGACCCCGGAGAAGGAGCCUGAGAGACGGCUACUACAUCCAAGGAAGGCAGCAGGCGCGCAAAUUACCCAAUCCCGACGCGGGGAGGUAGUGACAAUAAAUACUGAUACAGGGCUCUUUUGGGUCUUGUAAUUGGAAUGAGUACAAUUUAAAUCCCUUAACGAGGAACAAUUGGAGGGCAAGUCUGGUGCCAGCAGCCGCGGUAAUUCCAGCUCCAAUAGCGUAUAUUAAAGUUGUUGCAGUUAAAAAGCUCGUAGUUGAACCUCGGGCCUGGCUGGCCGGUCCGCCUCACCGCGUGCACUGGUCCGGCCGGGCCCUUCCCGCUGGGGAGCCGCAUGCCCUUCGCUGGGCGUGUUGGGGAACCAGGACCUUUACUUUGAAAAAAUUAGAGUGUUCAAAGCAGGCCUACGCUCGGAUACAUUAGCAUGGAAUAAUAGAAUAGGACGUGCGGUUCUAUUUUGUUGGUUUCUAGGACCGCCGUAAUGAUUAAUAGGGACAGUCGGGGGCAUCAGUAUUCCCUAGUCAGAGGUGAAAUUCUUGGAUCUAGGGAAGACUAACUACUGCGAAAGCAUUUGCCAAGGAUGUUUUCAUUAAUCAGGAACGAAAGUUAGGGGAUCGAAGACGAUCAGAUACCGUCGUAGUCUUAACCAUAAACUAUGCCGACUAGGGAUCGGACGGUG
rnacentral:rRNA from 1 species